GCCUUCGUAACUCAACGGUAGAGUGCUUGCCUUGUAAGCAAGAAGUUGGGGGUUCAAAUCCCCUCGGAGGCU
rnacentral:tRNA from 1 species